rnacentral:rRNA from 1 species
GACGAACGCUGGCGGCGUGCCUAAUACAUGCAAGUCGAACGUGAAGCCGGUGCUUGCACCGGUGGAAAGUGGCGAACGGGUGAGUAACACGUGAGAAACCUGCCCCGGAGACUGGGACAACCAUUGGAAACGAUGGCUAAUACCGGAUACCCCCGGAUGGUCGCAUGACCAACCGUGGAAAUGCUCUGGCGCUCUGGGAGGGUCUCGCGGCCUAUCAGCUAGUUGGUGGGGUAACGGCCCACCAAGGCAUCGACGGGUAGCUGGUCUGAGAGGACGAUCAGCCACACUGGGGACUGAGACACGGCCCAGACUCCUACGGGAGGCAGCAGUAGGGAAUCUUGCGCAAUGGGCAAAGCCUGACGCAGCAACGCCGCGUGAGGGAUGACGGCUUUCGGGUUGUAAACCUCUUUCAGUGAUGACGAAAAUGACGGUAAUCACAGAAGAAGGUCCGGCCAACUACGUGCCAGCAGCCG